rnacentral:rRNA from 1 species
UNGUAGGUGGUUUGUUGCGUCGUCUGUGAAAUUCCGGGGCUUAACUUCGGGGUGGCAGGCGAUACGGGCAUAACUAGAGUGCUGUAGGGGAGACUGGAAUUCCUGGUGUAGCGGUGGAAUGCGCAGAUAUCAGGAGGAACACCGAUGGCGAAGGCAGGUCUCUGGGCAGUAACUGACGCUGAGGAGCGAAAGCAUGGGGAGCGAUCAGGAUUAGAUACCCUGGUAGUCCAUGCUGUAAACGGUGGGCGUUAGGUGUGGGGACCGGUUUGGUUUCUGUGCCGUAGCAAACGCAUUAAGCGCCCCGCCUGGGGAGUACGGCCGCAAGGCUAAAACUCAAAGGAAUUGACGGGGGCCCGCACAAGCGGCGGAGCAUGUGGAUUAAUUCGAUGCAACGCGAAGAACCUUACCUGGGUUUGACAUGCACCAGACGGUUGUAGAGAUACGUACCUCCCUUUGUGGUUGGUGUGCAGGUGGUGCAUGGUUGUCGUCAGCUCGUGUCGUGAGAUGUUGGGUUAAGUCCCGCAACGAGCGCAACCCUUGUCUUAUGUUGCCAGCACUUUGGGUGGGGACUCAUGAGAGACUGCCGGGGUUAACUCGGAGGAAGGUGGGGAUGACGUCAAAUCAUCAUGCCCUUUAUGCCCAGGGCUUCACACAUGCUACAAUGGUUAGUACAACGCGCGGCAAGCCUGUGAGGGUGAGCGAAUCGCUGAAAGCUAAUCUCAGUUCGGAUUGGGGUCUGCAACUCGACCCCAUGAAGUCGGAGUCGCUAGUAAUCGCAGAUCAGCAAUGCUGCGGUGAAUACGUUCCCGGGCCUUGUACACACCGCCCGUCACGUCAUGAAAGUUGGUAACACCCGAAGCCCA